rnacentral:lncRNA from 10 species
CCAGCCACAUCCAGAAGGAGGAAGUGAGACGUACCUGGUGAUUGUUGCUGGCAGCCGACGAACUGGCCUGAGCUGUGCUGGCUGAGAGAGAAUCAAGGAAGGCUUGGUCAGCCACUGAAUUUCCACAAGAAAAUUGAUCUUUUCCAUCACUGGGUAAAAUCUGAAUAGGAGAAAGAGCCGCAAUUAUUUUCAUAGAUUACGGUCACUUCAGGGAGUCUUCGAGGGCAAGCAAGAAUUGUCAAAAAGGGUUUAUAUUCUUCAAUGCUACAAAUUUCUCUUGUGAUUCCAUUGUGGUCUCAGGGCAGACACUGUAUGAUUUCUUUCAAACAUGUUGAGAUUUUUCUCAAUCUUGUCAAUUUGUGGGCUCCUGGAUGCAAAGUGCAUACAAGUAAAACAAGACUUCAACAUAAGACCUACGGAGUGAGGCCAGGGGCCUGUGAAUAGGGGGUUGCAGUUGUAUGGAAAAGGCUGUGGUGUGUGCAUGGGCACACGUUUCUGAGGGAAAGCCUAGAGAUUGCAUCGGAUUCUCUGAGGGGUCAUGACUCCCCACCCUCACUGUCUAUCAACAACAGAAGGACGGCCUUAGAUCUCACUCUGCAGACAGGUCCCAGG